rnacentral:tRNA from 1 species
GCCCGGGUGGUGGAACGGUAUACACGCAGCACUUAAAAUGCUGUGCUCGUAAGGGCUUGAGAGUUCGAAUCUCUCCCCGGGCA